UUUUUUUUAAUCAGCCUCAGAACUAUUAAAUCAAAUUAUUUAAUAUUUUGGCUGCUUUCUUAAGCUGAAAUGGAAUCAUACGCUAAUUAUCUUCAUUGUUACUCAGGAGUUGAAUGGAAGUGAAGAAAAGCAUCAAAGCUAAAUUCAUUUCCUAAAUUCUUGGAUGAAAGCAAGUUCAGGAUGCAGGAGAAGCAAUUAAAUAAUUUUGUAGGCUGUCCCAUUUAAAUGAAGAUAACACACUAUGAGGGGUGAGCUGGCUUGUUUUAUUUUUGUGGGGGUUUUUUGUUUGUUACUUUUUAGUGCUGCAGUGAAAUGCCUACAUCUGCUGAAAUUAAAUGUGGUAAGUGACAAGGCACUUUUGAAAAAGCUCCUUGGUACCUGCCUGAAUCCUUAGACAAUGAGUUACCUUUAAAAGCCUGGCUGUGAUCAAGCUAAUUGAUUUUUUAAAAAUCCAUUUAAUUGAUUUUUUUUUAAUGUCUGUCCUAAAUCUAGAUUCAGUAAUACUCUGGGUAAAUUCUGAAUCAAUUAGAAUUGGAGAGUAAGCUAAAUAUAAUUUAUUUUUUUUUUACUUUUGUACUUGGUAUAAGCCAAUUUGACUCUUUCUUACAUCAGCAAAGGAUUGCUCUGGCUGUUCUCUCUUCCAUACUCAAAUGACCUGUGUUAAACCAAUAAAAUAUAUUAGUUCAUAAUUCAAUGGAAAAUCAGAGGUGGACUAUUACAUGAUUUAUAAUGAGUAGUUAUAGUAUUCUAAUUUCUAAAGCAGUUUUUCUGUCUCUCCUAUCUCUUCUCCCAUCAAUUUAUGAUUGUUUUACUCAGAAGGAAAUUCAUGUAUUGAGCAAAUAACUUGUUCUAUUUUGUACAAUUUAUAAAUUUAUAUUUUGCUGUGUUUCUUUUAGUGUGUUAUGAAAUUAUAUUUCAGUCCAUUGAAUCUUACUAUAAAGUCAAACUGACAACUAAUACUGGCUAAUUUCACCACAGUUAAUUAAAAGUGGGUUUGUUUAGUUUUUAAGUUAGGCUGCUUUCUCAAUAACCCUGCAGUAAAAAUCAAACAUACCACAUAAUCACAAGGGAAAAAAAGAGGAUUUAGAAACAAACAAAAAGCCUCCUGACCCAAAACCCCAAAGAAGCUCCCAAAACAUUUGCUUUCUGAUUAUCUGCCUGAAAUACCCAAAUCCACAGCAGGAAAAUAAAUGCCAGUGUGGUGGAGAUGAUUUAGGCACAAAUACAGUAAAACGUACACAGUGGAAAGAAGGAAAAGAUAGAAUAUAAUUUAUUAAAUUUGUCUUUUCAUAGACAUGCACUUUCAUGUGUUUUCUUAGUAAUUUAAUGUAAUUCCAUGUACUUGCAUAGACAUGUACUUUUUCAUUACUUGUAUCUCAAGCAAAUUAAUGAAUUUUAAGAAAAGUCUCUUAAAAUACCCUCUAAUUAAAAGAGAACACGUUGUUCCUACUGUUCUAACAGACUCAAUGUUUUCAUGUAUAUAACUGUGUCACUGAACACUAACAGUCUUCAGCAGAAAUUUCUUCAUUGUAUUCAGGUAAAUAAUGUUAGAAUAUUCAUGAUUUCCUAAAGACAUUUAUAACUUGUAAUUAAUUUAUAAAUAAACCGUCAUAUAGUUCAAAUACAUCUCUUUAUGAACAGUUUUCAUUUCUGGCACUAUAAAUCUAGCACAAAGAUCAAUCCCAUGGAGUGAUUCCCUACAGCCUGUAGGUUACAGAGGACAGAAAUGUGGCUGCUGGGAGGUGUCUGAGUGGGAAGCACCUGAACUAACCCCAGCCAAGUGUGGGGCUGGAGUUUUGUGCCCACAAACAUCAAAAUGCAAGCCAGGUGUUGGUAUUUCCUCUCCUAAUUCACUCUGCAGAGCUCUCACUGCCAUGUGGGCUGGCUCUGUGUGGGUAAUCUCAUUACUGCCUUUGCAGCUGUUUGAUUUUACCCAGAGGUCAGCUUUGAUGUGAUUUCUAUAUCCAGGUCUCCCUUAAAUCAUGUUCUGAGGAUGACCUUUGGCAGAGCGGCUGCGGCUGGGAACGGUGAUGUUACAGUUUAUUUACACAACUUCUCUGAGCCCUAAGUUUUAUUUGCUGAUUGGAUGUGACAAGUGCAUUAAUUCCUACUUUGUCAAAGUUCUCUGAUAUAAUAGAGUAAUUGGGCUUAGAGGAACAGGGGGGAAAGAGAUUUAAAAGAAAGAAUUCAACACUGAAAAGCUAGCCUUGAGAUUGAAUUUCCCUAUUGGAGAUAAUUGCUGGCUGAGAGUGUGUCCUACAGUAAAAAGGAAUAAGGAAAAUGGAAUAUGAUCUCCAUUCCUGGCUGCAACAGUAUGAUGGGUUAUUUCAAUUCUGUGCUUACUGGAAAUGAAGAAACAAAAUGACACUUGUUUUGACAUUUCCUCAAAGGCACCCUGUUGGGGAGAUGGGAGUGGGACAGAAAUUACCACUGCUGUCCUCUUCUUGACUUCUUGCUGAACGAUGUAGCAGAAUCGGAUGCCAUAAAUUGCAAAUGUGAAGAACUUCAAGUGAACUCUUGAAGAAAAGGAGAAACCUGGCUUUUGCCACUUUAUCAUGCACUUUAAUUGAAAACAAAUGUAUUUAACCUCUUUGAAAGCCUGUAAAAGCCUUGGAAUACAAUAAAACUGGAGUCCAUGUAAAAAAAAAUUUCAUUAUGAAAACCAGGAAAACCUUUAUCUAUGGAGUUAUGAAAAGCAAUGUAUACAAAGCAUGUAACAGGAAGCUGAAAUAGAACAUGGAACCUUCAGAAGUUGAAUUACAUCAACACAGGGCAGUCUGAAAGCUCCUUUGAAUCCACCUAAAAUAUUUUUAGAUGGAAAACGCAUGAAACUGGCAUUUUUAUGGUUUUCAGUAUUUUCUUCUUUUGGUCAAACCAACAAUUAAGGAUAAACUUAGAAUGUUUUCAUUCCUGGCCUCUGGUAGCAGAAUAAUAACUUUCCCAGAAUACCUGGGAAAGUUUAGAUACAAAUCUUUAUCAGCACUUGUACAAUCAUGCAGUCCAGUUCUUGGAUAUGCUGCUGAAACAUAUAUUUUCAUGCUUAAUUGAACAAAAUAAUGUUUUUCUGGCAUUCUACAGUCCACAGUAAACUUCAAUUAUGCUUGUUUUUAUCCCUUGCUCUUCUGUAGCGUAGUGUUGUCUGAAACAUUUCCAGGCGUAUGUGUACAGCAAAUGUUUCUUAGAAAUUAGGAACUGUCUUCUCAGACUGACAUUUUCUUAAUGUCACCUCUUAAUCAGUGGUUCAGAAUGGUUGUUUAUGGAUGUGCAGAAAAAAUUCACAAGCAGAAAAUGUUCUUAGAAAUACGAAUAUAGAAAUACCCACCAUUAUUCCCAGUCUAGAAUAGAUGUUAAUGGCAUUUUCUCCUACAACUUUUUAAGAAGGAUUGAAAUAUCACUGACAGUGUCCUUUAUAAAAAUAAUUCCCUUCAUUCUUAAUUUUUCUCACCUUGUAGUCAGUGUAAUAAAAUGUUGACGACUAAACACUUUAAUUGUAUUAUUACUAUAGCCAUUCUUACUUUAAAAUGGGAUUUAAUUAAAAUAUUCUUUUGAGCUGUUGACCUGUAGCCAAGGUUUAAAUGAUCUAAUUCUGUAGUGAAUGUUGCAUUUGAAUGUGAAAUUAUAAUAAUAUCUGGUGUGUAACAUGCUUUUUAAAAAGUAAAUCACAUGUUGUAAAUGUUGUAGUAAAUUUUGCGUUCGAAGCAAAAAUAGUUCAGACUGCACUUUUGGUAUGUUUAACCAACAUUGUUUCAGACUUGGAGUAAAACUUUAUAUUGACCCAAAGAAUAUGGAUUUGUUGCAAUCUUUGCAGUUCACUGAACUUUUUUUUUCUGUGCAUACAUAUUUCAAGUAAACUCUGUAGUUAUAACAAGUGACACGUUAUGGACCCUAAAUCGUUGCACUGUGAAAUAUGCACAGCAAAAGGACAAAUGAAGAUAUCAAGGGUCUGUUCCAUUUCUCACUGAACUGUAAAAUGCCACCCUUGUUGUACAGCAGAUCACUGGUUCUGAGCAGGGCUCAUUGACUGCUAAGUUGUGGGUAGUGUUUCACUUUCUGCAACUGUUAAUAUCCUGGCUUAUCCAGGCAUAAUGACCUCUCUAUUUGUGACACAUUGUUGAAUUUUCUGGUUCUUUUAACUUAUUCAAACCUUUAUUUUUUUUUUUCCUCCUCCUUUUUCUCCAUUCAUUGGAGGGCUGGAAGGAUUCUGAAUUGAGCUGCAGUACAGAGGUUGGUCAGCCAAUUGCAGCUGAAAUACGUGGUGGUGGCACAUCUGUAAAUGAAUAAAAACUUACAAAUGUGCAGGAAAGGUGCUCUGCAUCUGCACUAACCCUUCUUUUAUAUAGGCUAAUGCAUGUCUUUUGGAUAAUAUUGGUGUAUCUGUGGUAUAGUUUGGUUUCAUUAGUUCUCAUAUAGUAAAUAAUCCAUACUACAACAACCUCUAUUAUGUUAUAGCUCACAUUUGAUAUUUAAACUGAUAGGAAGGAAAUACCAACUUUUCAACUAGUCACGAAAUUACCAUUACAUCUCAAUACCUACGGUAUUAAAUAUGUUAAAUGUUGAUGAAGAUUUGCAUUUUUAAAAACUUUGAUACUUCAAAAUAUGCAAAGAAAACAGGGAUUAUAUGCAGUGUAUAACAUUUGCUUUCCAGACCUAAAUCCAGACCUGGCUUAUAUGGAUUUAAAAUUAGUGACAGCUAAAAUUUUGUCUCAGGUUUGAGCCAUGCCUAUCUAUUCUAUAAAACAAUGUUUAUUUUGUUUUUAUUUGCACAGUAUAUUCUGGGUAGCUCCAAGUUUUCUCUGGUCCUGUAGGGAGCAAGUUGCAUUUUGGAGGGCUGCUUUAGCUGUCUCCAACAAGGAGUAGAGUGUGUCUGCACUAUGUCAGGUGGAUAUUUUGCUCAUCUUCAGCAUUGUUGGCUCCCUUUUAUGUGUUUUUUUGUCUCUUUUAUGUGUUUUUAUGUGUUUUUUGUGUUUUCUAUGCCUUGUUUCCUCUUUAAAAUCUGUAAAUCUUGCCCAACUUCAGUGUUGUAAUAGAAGAAAAUACUUGCUGCUUUCAGCAGCACUGCUUUCACUUUGAAACCAGGGCCCCAUAUGGUGAAUAGUAGGGAGGAUCUAAUAUUCAGUACUGAAGGAUUUUCUCCUUGUAUCAAUCAAUAUUUUUGUCUCAAACAUUGAAAUGUUCUGACAUUUUUUGUUGGUAAAUUGAAGCCUCUAUGAUGUGACAAAAUUAUAUUAAAAAAGGAAUCUAUUUGUAAAAAUAUAUUCAUAAUAUAUUCAUAAAUAAAGGAAUAUAUAUUCAUAUAAAGGAAUAUAUUCAUAUAAAUAUUUGCUGUCAAGAACCUCAAAAAAAUUCUACUUACUGUCUUUCUAUGUGGCUCCUGUAAAAACACCUGCAAGUAUUUACAGCAUUCACUCUAACCAGGCCUAGGCCAUCCCAGAAGAGUCCAGGGCAAGACCUGUUAAUAAAUUAGACCUGGCUGAGCAUGCCAUCCUUUGCUGGGGUGGAUGUGCUCCCAGUGGCACAGCUCCAAGGGUCACUGUGCCUUUUAUGCCUGGACUUUGCAGAGAGGAAACGGCGGCACGGGAUAGGGUGAAUGUUUUACUAGACCAUUGGGCACAUUGAUUUUUAUUUUCAUGGAUAUGUAGAUCAAAUCGAAAUAACCUAAAGGGGCUGAUGUGAUACCCUGGGACUGUUAGGCAUGUCAAGAUUUGUAGGAAGUCUGUGUCUUUCUGCUUCUUGGUACUCCCUGUAGAAAAAUAGCGUGGGGUGUCAUUGAGAUCUGUCACUGGCUGACACUUAGGGAGAAAAAGAGGCCCCACCUCUGCCAGCCAUUCCCUAGAUGUGUCCCAGCUGAAUAAGAUUGUGUGCUGGACCUAGUUUGGAUUUAUUUACAUUUUAAGCAAGUGCUGUGCGAGUCAGACAUGCAGGAUCCUGGCUGGCUGAUAUAUCCUUGAGCAACUGUCUGCAUGUUGGCAUGUGAAGGAUUCUUUCUUGCCUGAUGUAGGACACUACUUGGGAAAUGUGUUUUUGUAAACACCCUGAAACUGCAGGGCAAGAAUAGCUUCUCUUUGAAGGCUUGAUAAAACUGCAUUUAUUGAAGAAACCUCUGUUCAACUGUCAUGUUAGAAAGAAACUAUUUAUAGAACCAUAGAGCAUCAAAAUUCACAGGGAACAAAGAAAUCUGGAAAACUGAAAUUAAGGAAAAAAAAACCAGCACAAAACAAAUCCUAAUUGAAAUUUGGGCUUUUGAAUUUAAAGGCUUUAUUACAUGAAUUUUUUUCACUGAAGGCUCAAAAUAUUUUGUUACAUAGGUUGUGUAG